rnacentral:rRNA from 1 species
UACGGAGGAUCCAAGCGUUAUCCGGAUUUAUUGGGUUUAAAGGGUGCGUAGGCGGCCUGUUAAGUCAGGGGUGAAAGACGGUAGCUCAACUAUCGCAGUGCCUUUGAUACUGACGGGCUUGAAUGUACUUGAGGUAGGCGGAAUGUGACAAGUAGCGGUGAAAUGCAUAGAUAUGUCACAGAACACCAAUUGCGAAGGCAGCUUACUAUGGUUUUAUUGACGCUGAGGCACGAAAGCUAGGGGAGCGAAUGGG